AUGCUUCAGCAGGACGUUUACCCAAAUUACUACAAUAUAGAGAUUAUCAUGGCACUUACACAAGGAUGAUAUGAAAAUUUGUGAAAUAUUCCAUAUUUUU
ensembl:snRNA U6 U6 spliceosomal RNA